AUUGAACGCUGGCGGCAUGCCUUACACAUGCAAGUCGAACGGUAACAGGUCUUUCGGGAUGCUGACGAGUGGCGAACGGGUGAGUAAUACAUCGGAACGUGCCUAGUAGUGGGGGACAACUACUCGAAAGAGUGGCUAAUACCGCAUGAGAUCUAUGGAUGAAAGCAGGGGACCUUCGGGCCUUGUGCUACUAGAGCGGCCGAUGGCAGAUUAGGUAGUUGGUGGGAUAAAAGCUUACCAAGCCUACGAUCUGUAGCUGGUCUGAGAGGACGAUCAGACACACUGGGACUGAGACACGGCCCAGACUCCUACGGGAGGCAGCAGUGGGGAAUUUUGGACAAUGGGCGCAAGCCUGAUCCAGCAAUGCCGCGUGCAGGAUGAAGGCCUUCGGGUUGUAACUGCUUUUGUACGGAACGAAAAGUCUUGGGUUAAUACCCUGGGAUCAUGACGGUACCGUAAGAAUAAGCACCGGCUAACUACGUGCCAGCAGCCGCGGUAACAC
rnacentral:rRNA from 1 species